rnacentral:rRNA from 1 species
GUAACACGUAGUCAAUCUAACCUAUGGACGAGGAUAACCUCGGGAAACUGAGAAUAAUACUCGAUAGAUCAUUAUGCCUGGAAGGGUUUAUGGUUCAAAUGAAUUUCGCCAUAGGAUGGGACUGCGGUCUAUCAGCUUGUUGGUGAGGUAAUGGCCCACCAAGGCUAUAACAGAUACGGGCUCUGAGAGGAGAAGCCCGGAGAUGGGUACUGAGACACGGACCCAGGCCCUAUGGGGCGCAGCAGGCGAGAAAACUUUGCAAUGUGCGAAAGCACGACAAGGUUAAUCCGAGUGAUUCCUGCUAAAGGAAUCUUUUGUUAGUCACAAUACCACUGAUGAAUAAGGGGUGGGCAAGUUCUGGUGUCAGCCGCCGCGGUAAAACCAGCACCUCAAGUGGUCAGGAGGAUUAUUGGGCCUAAAGCAUCCGUAGCCGGCUUUGUAAGUUUUCGGUUAAAUCCAUAUGCUCAACAUAUAGGCUGCCGGGAAUACUGCAAAGCUAGGGAAUGGGAGAGGUAGACGGUACUCCGUAGGAAGGGGUAAAAUCCUUUGAUCUAUGGAUGACCACCUGUGGCGAAGGCGGUCUACCAGAACACGUCCGACGGUGAGGGAUGAAAGCUGGGGGAGCAAACCGGAUUAGAUACCCGGGUAGUCCCAGCUGUAAACUAUGCAAACUCAGUGAUGCAUUGGCUUAUGGCCAGUGCAGUGCCGCAGGGAAGCCGUUAAGUUUGCCGCCUGGGAAGUACGUACGCAAGUAUGAAACUUAAAGGAAUUGGCGGGGGAGCACCACAAGGGGUGAAGCCUGCGGUUCAAUUGGAGUCAACGCCAGAAAUCUUACCCGGAGAGACAGCAGAAUGAAGGUCAAGUUGAAGACUUUACCAGACAAGCUGAGAAGUGGUGCAUGGCCGUCGCCAGCUCGUGCCGUGAGAUGUCCUGUUAAGUCAGGUAACGAGCGAGAUCCUUGCCUCUAGUUGCCACCAUUACUCUCAGGAGUAAUGGGGCGAAUUAGCGGGACUGCCGUAGUUAAUACGGAGGAAGGAGAGGGCCACGGCAGGUCAGUAUGCCCUGAAUCUCUGGGGCCACACGCGGGCUGCAAUGGUAGUGACAAUGGGUUCCGAAUCCGAAAGGAGGAGGUAAUCCUCAAACGCUACCACAGUUAUGACUGAGGGCUGCA